UGUCUUUUUGAAAAUAAUAUAAAGUCUAAUCUGCCCACUGAUUUAAAUUAAAGGGCUGCAGUAUAUUGACUGUACAAAGGUAGCAUAAUCAUUAGUCAUUUAAUUGAUGACUUGUAUGAAAGAUUGGAUGAAAUAUAAACUGUCUCUCAAUUAAAAAUAGAAUUUAAUUUUUUAAUUAAAAAGUUAAAAUAAUUUAAAAAGACGAGAAGACCCUAUAGAGUUUUAUAGAUAAAUUAAUUAAGGUUAUUUAUUAAAAUUAAAAUUAAUUUAUUUAUUCUAUUGGGGUGAUAGAAAAAUAUAUUUAACUUUUUUUUUAUAAAAACAUUUAUAAGUGAUUAAAUGAUCCAUUAUUAAUGAUUAUAAGAAAAAAUUACCUUAGGGAUAACAGCGUAAUUUUUUUUUUUAGUUCACAUAAGAAAAAGAGUUUGCGACCUCGAUGUUGGAUUAAGAUAAAAUUUAAAUGCAGAAG
rnacentral:rRNA from 1 species